GAGGGAAAGGUGAAAAGUACCCCGGAAGGGGAGUGAAAGAGAACUUGAAACCGUGUGCUUACAAGUAGUCAGAGCCCGUUAAUGGGUGAUGGCGUGCCUUUUGUAGAAUGAACCGGCGAGUUACGAUCUGAUGCAAGGUUAAGCAGAAAAUGUGGAGCCGUAGCGAAAGCGAGUCUGAAUAGGGCGAAUGAGUAUUUGGUCGUAGACCCGAAACCAGGUGAUCUACCCUUGGUCAGGUUGAAGUUCAGGUAACACUGAAUGGAGGACCGAACCGACUUACGUUGAAAAGUGAGCGGAUGAACUGAGGGUAGCGGAGAAAUUCCAAUCGAACUUGGAGAUAGCUGGUUCUCUCCGAAAUAGCUUUAGGGCUAGCCUCAAGUGAUGAUUAUUGGAGGUAGAGCACUGUUUGGACGAGGGGCCCCUCUCGGGUUACCGAAUUCAGACAAACUCCGAAUGCCAAAUAAUUUAACUUGGGAGUCAGAAUGUGGGUGAUAAGGUCCAUAUUCGAAAGGGAAACAGCCCAGACCACCAGCUAAGGUCCCAAAAUAUAUGUUAAGUGGAAAAGGAUGUGGCGUUGCCCAGACAACUAGGAUGUUGGCUUAGAAGCAGCCAUCAUUUAAAGAGUGCGUAAUAGCUCACUAGUCGAGUGACACUGCGCCGAAAAUGUACCGGGGCUAAACAUAUUACCGAAGCUGUGGAUUGUCCUUUGGACAAUGGUAGGAGAGCGUUCUAAGGGCGUUGAAGCAUGAUCGCAAGGACAUGUGGAGCGCUUAGAAGUGAGAAUGCCGGUGUGAGUAGCGAAAGACGGGUGAGAAUCCCGUCCACCGAUUGACUAAGGUUUCCAGAGGAAGGCUCGUCCGCUCUGGGUUAGUCGGGUCCUAAGCUGAGGCCGACAGGCGUAGGCGAUGGAUAACAGGUUGAUAUUCCUGUACCACCAUUA
rnacentral:rRNA from 1 species